GACGAACGCUGGCGGCGUGCUUAACACAUGCAAGUCGAACGGAAAGGCCCUGCUUUUGUGGGGUGCUCGAGUGGCGAACGGGUGAGUAACACGUGAGUAACCUGCCCUUUACUUUGGGAUAACUUCAGGAAACUGGGGCUAAUACCGGAUAGGAGCUCCUGCUGCAUGGUGGGGGUUGGAAAGUUUCGGCGGUUGGGGAUGGACUCGCGGCUUAUCAGCUUGUUGGUGGGGUAGUGGCUUACCAAGGCUUUGACGGGUAGCCGGCCUGAGAGGGUGACCGGCCACAUUGGGACUGAGAUACGGCCCAGACGCCUACGGGAGGCAGCAGUGGGGAAUAUUGCACAAUGGGCGGAAGCCUGAUGCAGCAACGCCGCGUGCGGGAUGAAGGCCUUCGGGUUGUAAACCGCUUUCGCCUGUGACGAAGCGUGAGUGACGGUAAUGGGUAAAGAAGCACCGGCUAACUACGUG
rnacentral:rRNA from 1 species